rnacentral:rRNA from 1 species
GACGAACGCUGGCGGCGUGCUUAACACAUGCAAGUCGAACGGAAAGGCCCUGCUUGCAGGGUACUCGAGUGGCGAACGGGUGAGUAACACGUGGGUGAUCUGCCCUGCACUUCGUGAUAAGCCUGGGAAACUGGGUCUAAUACCGGAUAGGAGCCAUUUUUAGUGUGAUGGUUGGAAAGUUUUUUCGGUGUAGGAUGAGGUCGCGGCCUAUCAGCUUGUUGGUGGGGUAAUGGCCUACCAAGGCGGCUACGGGUAGCCGGCCUGAGAGGGUGGACGGCCAAAUUGGGACUGAGAUACGGCACAGACUCCUACGGGAGGAAGCAGUGGGGAAUAUUGAACAAUGGGCGCAAGGCUGAUGCAGCGACGCCGCGUGGGGGAGGACGGCCUUCGGGUUGAAAACUCAUUUCGCUAGGGACGAAGCUUUUUGUGACGGUACCUAGAGAAGAAGCACCGGCUAACUACGUG